rnacentral:lncRNA from 1 species
GCCAUGAAGAACAGACCUUGAAGAUUUCCUGCUGCAGGGAUCAGGAAACUGAGAUGCUUAUCCAUCACUUGUCAUGUGGCAUUACCUAAAGACUGCUUUCAGGAUCAUCCACUACCUUGUAUCUCUGGCCUGCCCCAUGCUCAGCAGAGAAAAUCUGAGCAGAGAAUGUCAGGUGCUUUUGGCAGAAGGCAUUGGCAUACAUGGGGUGGUAAGUAUAAUAUCAAUGGGAUAUUGGCAGAGCACAAGAAAAGAGUCCAGUGCAGUGAGGUAAGGAAAAAGAGAAGCAAAUUCUUCUUAACACUAAUUAUUUCUUCUCCAGCCUAUCUAAGAUUCACAAGAUUUGGGAGCAGUCAAGUAGCAUUUUCUUUCUGUUUAUGAUUUCCCUCUGAGACUAUCAUUGCUUUAGGCAAAUGCAUUCAUGUGAAGAAUCAUUUUUCUCCAUGUCUGAGCCUAUAAUAAAUGUCAACCCUUUUUUGGCAACUGCAACUAAUGCUGCAGACCUACCAUUACUAAAAAUGAAAUUACACAUGUUAGGACCCCAGAUCAAUGUAUUUCAAGGGACAUUUAAGAUCACUCUGGACAGGCAAUGGAAUCUCUCCACCUCUGUAGCUAUGAGCCUCCUUCUGGAAAAAAAGAUAAAAUUUUUACUUGAUUUUUUUUCUCUUUCUCUUAGUGCUUGGAUCAAGCAAAAAAAAUGCAAAUGAAAUUUCUAGCCUUGUUAAUUCCCCUGAAAUCUAGCAUCCUCUCUAAAAUACUUGGUAAAACUAAGCACCCAGGAAACAAAGUUUAAAGUCUUUAAGGUGUGCUCAGUGUAGCCUGUAAGGUGUUUAAUAAAUAGCCCUUAAAUUUGCAUAGAAAUCAUAGGCCAUUGGAGCAAAAAGUAAGCUCAGGCAAUGUCACAGAAAAUGCUUCAUUUUACAGGUGAGAGAAAUGAAUCCCAGAGAGAAUUGGUUUGCACAAAACUACACGUCCGUUUAGUGGCACAGCAAAAACCAGAAUUAAGGUGGUCUGACACUCAUUCCAAUAAUUUUCAUGGUUUUUUAUGUUUUAAGCUUUGAUAGAAAGACUUUUGUGCAUUAUCUCAUUUAAAGAAACUAAUGAGAUGGUAAGUCAUUUACAAGUCAGUCAUCUGGGUAAGAGCAGGGGAUCCUCUGGGAUCUGAAUGCUUGGGUUCAAAUUCCAGCUCCAACAUGUGUCACCUGCAUGACCCUGAACGAUCUUUCUGUGCUUCCCUUUUCUCCACGGUAAGCAAUGGCAUCUAUCUCAGUACCCUUAAAACGAUUGCAUGAAAUACUGGUAAGCAAUGACAACUAUCUCAGUACCCUUGAAAUGAGUGCUUGAAAUGCUACAAGCAAGUGUCUAGAGAGUGCCUGGACCACAGUUAGUACUCCAUAAAUCUGAAGCGACAUGAUGUCAUCUUCACAACAGCUCUCAAAGAUACUCAUGCAGUGAUGAUACGUGUCAAUCAUUUGACGUCAAAUGUAUUUUUCAUUCCAUCUGGCAAAUCAUAUCCCUCUUCUUGAAUGGAAUUCCUCUGUCACUCUGGGUCUUUCAAUUCACCUUGAAGUGUCCGAACGAAAAAGAUGGAUUUGAUGUCGUGAAAUGGCAAUUCUAAAACUCAGGAGAUAUGUUGGUGUUUCUGAGCUCUUACUCCAGUGUCCACUUGUCCAUAGAAUCACCUUUCACUUCUGGGGUCAGAGGACAGCUCCUGGAAUGAUCUCUCAUCUUACGGCAAAAAGUGAUUCUCAACUGAGGAUGAUUUUAUGCCUUCUACACCUUAAGGGCUAUAUCCCAUCAUUAUCAUCAUC